CGCCCCCCGCGGGCCCGGCCUGGCGUGGCCGCCCGCCGUCUCGCUGCUCCUCCUCCUCCGGCGCCCCGCGGCCCGCCGCCUCCUCCGCCCGCCGCCCGGCGCCCCUCGCCGCGCCGCCGCCCUCGGCGCCCCGCGGCGCCCCCCGGUCCCGCCCGCCAUGCCCGGCCCGGCCGCGGGCAGCAGGGCCCGGGUCUACGCCGAGGUGAACAGCCUGAGGAGCCGCGAGUACUGGGACUAUGAGGCUCACGUCCCGAGCUGGGGUAAUCAAGAUGAUUACCAACUGGUCCGAAAACUUGGUCGGGGAAAGUAUAGUGAAGUAUUCGAGGCCAUUAACAUCACCAACAAUGAGAGAGUGGUGGUGAAAAUUCUCAAGCCAGUGAAGAAAAAGAAGAUAAAACGAGAGGUUAAGAUUCUGGAGAACCUUCGCGGUGGAACGAAUAUCAUUAAGCUGAUUGACACUGUGAAGGACCCCGUGUCAAAGACACCAGCUUUGGUAUUCGAAUAUAUCAAUAAUACAGAUUUUAAGCAACUUUACCAGAUCCUGACAGACUUUGAUAUCCGGUUUUAUAUGUAUGAACUACUUAAAGCUCUGGAUUACUGCCACAGCAAGGGCAUCAUGCACAGGGAUGUGAAACCUCACAAUGUCAUGAUCGACCACCAGCAGAAAAAGCUGCGGCUGAUAGACUGGGGCCUCGCCGAGUUCUACCACCCUGCGCAGGAGUACAACGUCCGCGUGGCCUCCCGCUACUUCAAGGGGCCCGAGCUGCUGGUGGACUACCAGAUGUACGACUACAGCUUGGACAUGUGGAGCCUGGGCUGCAUGCUGGCGAGCAUGAUCUUCCGGAAGGAGCCCUUCUUCCACGGCCAGGACAACUACGACCAGCUUGUUCGCAUCGCCAAGGUCCUGGGCACGGACGAGCUGUACGGGUAUCUGAAGAAGUACCACAUAGACCUCGACCCGCACUUCAACGACAUCCUGGGACAACAUUCACGGAAACGCUGGGAAAACUUCAUCCACAGUGAGAACAGACACCUCGUCAGCCCUGAGGCCCUAGACCUUCUGGACAAACUGCUGCGAUACGACCAUCAACAGCGGCUGACCGCCAAAGAGGCCAUGGAGCACCCGUACUUUUACCCCGUGGUGAAGGAGCAGUCCCAGCCCUGCGCAGAUAAUGCUGUACUUUCCAGUGGUCUCACGGCGGCCCGGUGAAGACUGGAAAGCGACGGAAAAGCAGCAUUGGCCGGUUGGUGACCCUUUACAAAUGACUACUCCAGGGUCAAGUGGCCGCCUCUGUGCCCCUGGAUGGCUGAGCUGCGACUCCCCUGCUGCUGCCCUUAGGGGGAAGAGAGAUGCCAUGUUAACUCCUGUUUGCACAAAUAAAAAGGUGCCUCAUCACCAGCCGUCCCGAAAGGGUGACACGCUACGGCCAGGAGGACCUUACACUCGUGUUGCCUGUCCCUUGGGGGAGAGAAGGGAUAAACCUCGAACUGCAAAGGUGUGUGUGGUGGACCCAGUGCAUCGCCUUGGCCGGAAGACAGCAGGAGAGCUGGCGGGCGUUUCUCGGUCCUUGCUUUCCUCCAGACGCCUGCUCGGGACGGACCUGUUCCGCACCACGACUUGAACUACUUGAACGUUCGUGGCGGUGUUCUGCGUUUAGGGAAGUCUGUCCCCACCCUGUUCUCUGCAGCAGGAGUGGGCACGUGCUGUUGGGCAGAUGGUGGUGUCAGAUUAAUGUUCCUCCUCCUCCUCCCCAACUGACCCCUCUCUGGAGUUGGAUGCUUGGAGGUCAGUUUCCAACGUGUUCAAAGGCAAACAGGCAUUUCUGCCUUGCACACCACGCGGCCUCUGGCCCCUCCCUUGCCCUAAGCGAGCGCUCACGGAGUAACGUUGUGUGUGGCGGCCUCCCGGGUGCAUGGCCCGCCCUUCCCCUUGGUUCAUUGCUACCGUCCUGAGACUCCGCUGCCAGAACUCUGCUGUCGGCGUCUCGGCACCCGCUCCACUCUGUCGGGCAGGGAAGGAGGAACAGUUUUCAGGCUGUGCCAGACAGCCGCUCCCAGGAGAGAGAAAAAACACGGGUGGGCAAAAGUAGGCUUCCCGCUGUGAGUGCCCUGCGCCCCGAGACAGUCCCUUGAGUAACAGCUGCUGUAAGAACCGCAACCUGCUUGUCUUUUUCCACGUGGGCAACCCACUUUUGCCCAUUCCUGCGAAUGAACUGGUUCCCUUUUUGCUUUUCAAAAGUGGAUCUGGCCCUUUUCCUGUGUACAAGACAGUCGUCUAGUUAGCCCCACGCUGUCCUUGGUCCACGGGACCAGGUCUGACAGUGCACCGCGGAACGUGGAGCCUGGUGUGCACAGAACGGCCGGCGUCCUGGACCCGAGAGGCGGGGAAGAGGCUUGGUUGCCCACGUGGUGCCCAGAACGUUCCCCCGGCUCUCGCAGAAGGCCCGCGGAGACUGUUAGUGGUGAUCAGAAGAGGAAGUGUGAAAAGGGUCUGUGGCGGUUCCUCUCACUUUUCCAUAAGCAGAACAAGAACCAAUCAAACGUCUGAACGUGUGUAGGGAGAGCACGUUCCGUGAGCAGACACAACACGGUGGCAGGCUUGGCAAGCACGAACUAGACCGGCUGCGGGGCAGCCCACCACCGUGUAUCAAACCUCACUUCCGAGCGUAAAAGGCGCACACGCCUUUGGCUUCCUGUUGACUUCCUCCUGACCCAGACAGCAUGGGAAAUGUGAAGGGUAUGCAGAAUGGCUGUUGGCUACUGUUGCUCCCCCGCGCCCCUUGGCGUCCUGCGGCCACCUGCUUCCCCGCAGACCACAGGCUCCACAGGGGGGACGGGGGCGUAUAUGGCAUGAUGGGCAGUGACAUAUUAUAAUUUUAAAAGUAUAUAUUAUUGAAUAAAAGGUUUUAAAAGAAA